UACGUAGGUGGCAAGCGUUGUUCGGAAUUAUUGGGCGUAAAGGGCGCGUAGGCGGCCUGUUAAGUCGGCUGUGAAAGCCCGGGGCUCAACCCCGGAAAGUCGGCCGAUACUGGCAAGCUAGAGUACGGAAGAGGUAGCUGGAAUUCCCGGUGUAGCGGAGAAAUGCGUAGAUAUCGGGAGGAACACCUGAGGCGAAGGCGGGCUACUGGGCCGAUACUGACGCUGAUGCGCGAAAGCCAGGGGAGCGAACGGG
rnacentral:rRNA from 1 species